rnacentral:lncRNA from 1 species
UGAUAACACUGGCAGGAAAAAGUGAAUGGAAGGAACUUAUUACUGGUACCGAGACCCGAUGCUCAUUUCUUUAGCAAGGCACUACACUGAGCCAUAAUCUUUGAUGCCCUAGUAAUUGCAUCUGUCAUGUAGAAAUUCUCCACAGCAGGUGUGAAUGGAGUGGCGCUUACUUUUUGGCUGACUUCAGGUCUCAAAGAAGUUGAGAAUGUGGCUGGUUGUCUCUCAUCCAAUUCUAGGAGAUUUGGUGCCACUGUCCUAAUUCGAGAACGGAUUGCACCUACACUAUCAUAGGGUAAUCCGACACCUGCCACUUCAGAUAACGCUCUUAUUAUCUUCCAAUCAUCCCUGGCAUCACCAACAGUGGGAACUGCUGGCAGUGUGAUCUGAGCGCAUCCUUCUGUGUUUUCAUAUAUUCCUUCUUUCUCUGUGAAAGCAGAUGCAGGCAAAAUAACAUUGGCACGAUACACACCGUGAUCACCAUGGUGACCUUGGUAAACAACAAAGGCAUCAUCUGGAAGUUUGUCCAAGUUCACAUCAUCAGCACCCAUCAAAUAUACAAACUUCGCAGAUUCAAUGCAUUUAUCAGAUUCAGGGAUAAGUCCAAGAUCAAGAGCAGCAGCUUGGGCAGCAUUCAGUAGCAAAACAUUUAGUCCAUUCCAAUCAGGUCUCACGACAUUAUUGUUCUUUGCAAUAGUGUCAACAGCAGCAAAAACAGCAUCCUUAUCCACUCGAUCAAACACACCAGCACCGACGAUGAUCACUGGGUUCUUAGCAUUUUUGAGAGCUGACGAAAAGGGAUGGCGUCCCGCAGCAAUUUCAACUAGUGUUUGAGGAUUUGUUCCAAGAUGUUCAUGAUUAUAGUUGAAAUCAGCAGCAGGCCCCACAUAGCCUACCUUAGCAUUUGUAGCUCUAACUGUUUUGUGAAUUCUAGCAUUCACCAUAGCAGCUUCUACCCUUGGCUGGAAAAUUCAAGAUAUAGCAAAUAAUUAAUAGAACAUGAGAAUAAUAGAUACACAACUAUCUAAAGGUAAUAAAUUCCUAAAUAAACAAAUGUGCAACAUUGUCCAAACAAGAUCUAGGUAGUCAGAACUACCCCCAAAAGUGCUAUCGCAAUAUCACUCACGUACCAUCAUUAGAUUCAAUUAUCAAAANAAUUGAUAUAAAUGUCUUAUUAUGUUAGAAAAAGGAUUCAUAUAUUUGUGCUGAGAAUGAAUUUCAACUUUCUCCAACCUUGGUGUGGAAAACUCAACAAUCACAGCAAACCUGCUGACUAAAUUACAGAAAAAAGGUACAAAGUAAAGAUCCAAGUUGUUGGUGCCAUUUAUGAGGACAUUCACUGUGGCACAUCAAUUUACAGUCUUCUCUGCUCUUUUCUUUUGAUCUCAAUACAAAAAAAAUCCAUCAACUUUAAAACUGAUAACACUGGCAGGAAAAAGUGAAUGGAAGGAACUUAUUACUGGUACCGAGACCCGAUGCUCAUUUCUUUAGCAAGGCACUACACUGAGCCAUAAUCUUUGAUGCCCUAGUAAUUGCAUCUGUCAUGUAGAAAUUCUCCACAGCAGGUGUGAAUGGAGUGGCGCUUACUUUUUGGCUGACUUCAGGUCUCAAAGAAGUUGAGAAUGUGGCUGGUUGUCUCUCAUCCAAUUCUAGGAGAUUUGGUGCCACUGUCCUAAUUCGAGAACGGAUUGCACCU